AGUUCGGAUUGUAGUCUGCAACUCGACUACAUGAAGCUGGAAUCGCUAGUAAUCGCGGAUCAGAAUGCCGCGGUGAAUACGUUCCCGGGUCUUGUACACACCGCCCGUCACACCAUGGGAGUCGAUAACGCCCGAAGUCAGUGACCCAACCUGUAAGGAGGGAGCUGCCGAAGGCGGGAUUGAUAACUGGGGUGAAGUCGUAACAAGGUAGC
rnacentral:rRNA from 1 species